AAUUCUAAACUGCCCUGCCUCAGCCAACAGCUAUCUGCAGCUCAUUUCCUGCUUUCUGGCCAUCUUAUCUCUCUCUCCAAACAUUCCUCAGCUUUCUCUUUUUAGAACAGGAUUAUGAACAGACGCCAUACAGAGGUAUUUGUAAGAAAGAAGGUGGAUGCCAGAAUCCUUUCUUCAAACAGAAGCUUACCAGUAAGUGCAGACUAAUACAACAGAGAGAUUUGAACUACAGCAGAGGUGUGAACAGGUGUCAGGGGAACACAGAAGAAAGAGCAGUUACUCUUCUGGAAGGUUGGAGAAGACUUUGUGAAUAUGGGGAUGUUUGAUUUGAACCUUGAAGAACAAGUAGAGACCCAAGAGGUACAGAAGAGAGGAGGUGGAAAUAGCAUGAACGAGGUGGGGCGUGCAAAUUCACUUUCAAUCGAUACAACCUUUCACCUCAGAGCUGCUUCUUGUAACACAGAAGUUUUCAGAUUCUAUGAAAAGGUAUUGAGUGAAUUCAAGGCUCUGUUAAGGAGGCAACUGUCUCCCCUCCCCAUUCUCCUAUCAGCCCAUAAAACAGGAACUGACAACCUCUUGGAAGAAUUGGGAAGAAACUUUCUGAUUUUCUCAGUACAAUCUUCACUGGUUCCUCUCUGUGAGAGGAGGAGGGACCUCUUGGGUUGGUGUCCUUGGGAAAAGGGUAUCAAGUGUGCAUGGCUCAGCCUGUUCCCGGCUCUCUCUCUGGGACUGACCUGACUGCAAGCAGCAUGUUCUCUCUCUGCUCCUGCCUCCUCCAGGCAAUGAGCACCAGGGUGGGUCCAGCCCUUGCUUGGGAGGACUUCAAUAGUCCAGCUGCUCUGCCGUGGUGGAUGAGUGAGUUCAAGUCAGAGGAGAAGACAUGGAAAGCUCAUUUGGGCCUUGGGUCUUAGCCACAUCCUCCAGUCCAUCUGGACUAGCAAUAAAGCUGACAUUUUAAUCCCUA